UGUAGUAAACCCUAAGUUGAGUUUGAUGAUAGUCGGACGUAUUGACGACGGAUUUGACGGACAUAACGUUCAAACCCGCUCAAAGACUCAAACCCACAGAACUUCACAACUGAUUAAAAUAAUUUUAUAAACCAAAAUGAUCAAACUUUGUAGUUUCUGGGAUUGGUGUUGAUGCUUCCAAAUAGGUUCCAAGAUGUUCCCAGUGAGUUUGGAAAAGAGAGAAGUGGAUUCCUUGAGCUUCUCAAACAUUUUCUUAGAAAAUGUCAAACGCUUGGUCUCAAAAUCUAACCCGUAUGCUUCAAACACGCCCAUGAAGACUUUUCUUUUGAAUAUUUCAAACUCCAGCAAACGAGUAAGAUAUUUGAGUUGCCGUGCUUCAUAUCCAUUCCGUGUCUGUUGGAAGUCCUAUGUGAUAUUGACUUGGCCCUUACUUCCAUCCCAAGCAAGAGAUUGCAGGUAUCUCAUGGCCGGCAGUGGACUAAUGAUAUAUGAAGUCAUUUUAAAUUGGAUCUGACUAACUUGGCCACAGGGGUUGUUACCUUGAAAGGACUUGAGUGGGGUUCAUGUUUAAGUCUUUCUUUUUUAAUCUAGGUACGCACUGUGUGUGCUCUCUUCUUGUUUUAGUUGAAUUCAAAGAAUAGUUGUUUCUUCCUAGCCUUGGUAAGUGGUUGGUUAAGGGUAUCAUAUAAGAUUUUUAUUAUUUUUAUUUUCUGUUUUUGUCUUAGUGCCUUUUCAAGAUUUUGAAUUGUCAAAAAAGCUGGUUAUAUUGUAUAAACAAUCAUCGUAGUCUUAUAAUUAGUAUAUAUAAUUUGGUAUUGAUGUGCA